UCAGAAAUAAAAUAUACUUUAAAAUAUAAAAAGAUAGUAAUACGAAAAAUUAAAAAUGAAUAUGAGGUUUAGAAAAAAAUUUAAAACUGUGAACGAAAUUAUAUUCGGAUGGGAUAAAUUUAACGCUAUAACAUUUUCUAUUUUCAUAUUACUCUUUUGCGUGUGGUGUUUUAUAUUUUUUUUCACGUAUAAUUCAAAUACCGUACUCGAAAAUCAUUCAGGACAUCAACAUUAACAAGAAGAACAAUCAUUUUCUUCGACUCAAAGAUGUUAAAAAUAUAGCAGAAUUUAAAUAUAAAUUCACAUGGAUGGUACGAAUGAUGAAGUCAAUUACACUUGAUACGACUCAUAAUUUCACGCAAUUUACGUUUGUUCGAUACACGCUCUCAUGGAAAGAGAGACAGAGUGAGAACGAAGCGCUUUGUGUCACGAUACUUGUCACGAGACUGAACGUUGGACGAUACAAUCGAUGCAAUAAAAAUUUAUGGACAUUUCAUUUCUAUCUAUUUAAUCCAAUUAUUUAUUUAUUUUAUCUUAUUAUACUUCUAUGUAAUCAGAAAUAAAUUUGCAUGUUUUAAUUUAUAC